GAACUGAAGUGAUGAAAAGAAAAUGUUUUGCAGAAAAAUAUAACAAUAUAAGAGUCACCAAAUUAAAGUAGUAUGACUUUGAAGGCAUAUCAAGUGCACGAAUAAAUUCACAUACAAAAAGUUUCAUGCACAUUAAGUUCUUAUCAAGAAGCAAAAAAAAAGGUUAAACAAGCAAGUAUAAAACUGUUAAUCCCAGAGGGACGAUGUUCGCAAGUGUUCCUGAUUAGGUCCAAUAAAUGUAUAAAAUCAACACUCGUAAUUGCCAUCUGUCAAUCCCUUGAACGAUUAUCUAUCGAAUGAGAUGCAAAUGUCCUCCAGGAUGAAACCAAUUCUUUAAACUGUGCACUCUUGAAUAGACUGUGGAUCAGUAGCAGCAAGUAAAGACGGUUCCCUUGGGCAGGGAAGUAUUGCAAACUUCUUUGGAAAAUAAUGCAAUUUAAAUACAUACAGAAACAACGUACUGUUCAAAGAAGAAUUGAAAUGGUGGAGGUGCAAAAAGCUAGUAUGGAAAUACAGCUUUCAACAUGCACCUUUUCAAUACAGGACGUUUACAAACAUAGAAGACCAACAUUGAUUAUGAAAUCUAUUAAUUAAAAAAAUGCAAUUUAAAUACCAACACAGAUACCGUACUGUUCAAAGAAGAAUUGAAACGGAGGAGGUGCAAAAAGCUAUUAUUUAAAUACUGCUUACAACAUGCACCUUUCCAAUACAGUACGUUUACAAACACAG